CAGCACCUGACACACACCUGAGCUGUGUCCUGUAGUUUACCUGUUGAGCAGCACCUGACACACACCUGAGCUGUGUCCUGUAGGUUACCUGUUGAGCAGCACCUGACACACACCUGAGCUGUGUCCUGUAGUUUACCUGUUGAGCAGCACCUGACAUACACCUGAGCUGUGUCCUGUAGGUUACCUGUUGAGCAGCACCUGACACACACCUGAGCUCUGUCCUGUAGGUUACCUGUUGAGCAGCACCUGACACACACCUGAGCUGUGUCCUGUAGUUUACCUGUUGAGCAGCACCGUCACAGAGAUCACCUGAGCUGUGUCCUGUAGGUUACCUGUUGAGCAGCACCUGACACACACCUGAGCUGUGUCCUGUAGUUUACCUGUUGAGCAGCACCGUCACAGAGAUCACCUGAGCUGUGUCCUGUAGUUUACCUGUUGAGCAGCACCGUCACAGAGAUCACCUGAGCUGUGUCCUGUAGUUUACCUGUUGAGCAGCACCUGACACACACCUGAGCUCUGUCCUGGAGGUUACCUGUUGAGCAGCACCUGACACACACCUGAGCUCUGUCCUGUAGGUUACCUGUUGAGCAGCACCGUCACGGAGAUCAUGGACAGCAGCAGGAAGCAGAAAACCGGAUACUGACGUCCAGUUUCUCUCAGGACGUCGACCUGCAGCCCCAGCUUCAGAAACCUUAAAAUACCUGCCAUCCUUCACACCUGUUGACACAUGUUAGAGACACCUUUAACCUCUACACACAUAAAGAGAGACUCACCUGUUUAAACUGACAACACCUGUAAUGUAGCUGCUACACUUUAGCUAGCUAACGUAACCGUUAACGUUCGUUUGUUUUUUAAACUUACGGCGACAAAACCACCGGAAAUCCUCUUCAUAUAAAAACAAACAUUGUAGUCUUCGUCUGAAGCUCAGACUAGUCCACACGUUUAUAAAAAAAGAUUAACUUCCAGAGUUCUUCACUCGAUGUUUUCAUGUGUUUUAAAGUCGCUUCCUUGACAGAUGGAAUGUUUGCUAAUCCGAGCGAGCCGGGGGUUGCCAGAUCCGUCAGAGAAACAAGUAAUCCACACAAACCGGCGGUUAAAAUAGAAGCACGACUUGUACUAAUGGUGUUACAUUAUGUAAAUAAAAUAUCACUCUUUGCUUUGUUUUACAUAUGCAUGUGAAAUAAAGAGCAAGAUAAGUUUCCUUA